UGGGGGAUAUUAGACAAAUGGGGGGAAACCCUGAUCUAGCAACGCCGCGUGAAGGAAGAAGGUUUUCGGAUUGUAAACUAUUGUCGUUAGGGAAGAGAAAGGACAGUACCUAAGGAGGAAGCUCCGGCUAACUACGUGCCAGCAGCCGCGGUAAUACGUAGGGAGCGAGCGUUAUCCGGAAUUAUUGGGUGUAAAGGGUGCGUAGACGGGAAGAUAAGUUAGUUGUGAAAUCCCUCGGCUUAACUGAGGAACUGCAACUAAACUGUUUUUCUUGAGUGCAGGAGGGGUAAGUGGAAUUCCUAGUGUAGCGGUGAAAUGCGUAGAUAUUAGGAGGAACACCAGUGGCGAAGGCGACUUACUGGACUGUAACUGACGUUGAGGCACGAAAGUGUGGGGAGCAAAC
rnacentral:rRNA from 1 species